UUGUGGGAGAACCGGCGGCGUGGAGUGGUAGAGAAUAGAGAGAGCAGCUGUUGGCUGAAGGCGCCUGGAGGGACGAGGAGCAAUGACGGAACGGAAGGGAACAGCUAAAUUAGAUUUCCUGAGGAAGAUUGAAAAGGAAGUUCAACAGAAGUGGCAUGAUGAUCGGGCAUUUGAGGCUAAUGCUGCAGAUAUUGCAAACCCCAAAAGCUGUGGAAAGUACUUUGUCACCUUUCCAUAUCCCUACAUGAAUGGCCGGCUUCACCUAGGACACACAUUUUCUUUAUCAAAAUGUGAGUUUGCAGUUGGGUACCAGAAGCUGAAAGGAAAAUGCUGCCUGUUCCCUUUUGGACUGCAUUGUACUGGCAUGCCCAUUAAGGCAUGUGCGGAUAAGUUGAAAAGAGAAAUGGAGCUGUAUGGAUAUCCACCAGAAUUUCCUGAUGAAGAGGAGGAAGAGGAGGAGGAACCAAAGGAGGAAGAAGUGGUUAUUAAAGACAAGACUAAAGGCAAGAAGAGUAAAGCUGCUGCCAAGAGUGCCUCUUCAAAGUAUCAGUGGGGAAUCAUGAAGUCUUUAGGCCUCUCUGAUGAAGAAAUAGUGAAGUUUUCAGAGGCUGAACAUUGGCUUGAUUACUUUCCACCACUCGCCAUUCAAGAUUUAAAGAGCAUGGGACUGAAGGUAGAUUGGAGACGUUCCUUCAUUACCACUGAUAUUAACCCCUACUAUGAUUCAUUUGUACGGUGGCAAUUUCUCACUUUGAGGGAAAGAAAUAAAAUUAAGUUUGGAAAAAGAUACACUAUUUAUUCUCCAAAAGAUGGACAGCCUUGCAUGGAUCAUGAUAGACAAACAGGAGAGGGUGUAGGACCUCAGGAAUACACUCUAAUUAAAAUGAAGGUAGUUGAACCUUACCCUCUGAAGCUAAGUGGCCUUAAGGGAAAGAAUAUCUUCUUGGUAGCUGCUACUCUCAGACCAGAGACCAUGUUUGGGCAGACUAACUGCUGGGUUCGCCCUGAUAUGAAGUACAUUGGUUUUGAGACCCUGAAUGGGGAUAUUUUUAUUUGCACGCAGAGAGCUGCCAGGAAUAUGUCCUACCAAGGUUUCACAAAAACCAAUGGAGUAGUGCCUGUUGUGAAGGAGUUGAUGGGAGAGGAGAUCCUUGGGGCUGCCCUCUCUGCUCCUCUAACAUCCUACAGAGUUAUCUAUGCUCUUCCUAUGUUGACUAUUAAGGAAGAUAAAGGGACUGGUGUGGUCACAAGUGUUCCAUCUGAUGCUCCAGAUGACAUUGCUGCCUUGAGGGACUUGAAGAAAAAACAGGCUUUUCGGGCAAAAUACGGUAUUAAGGAUGAAAUGGUCCUGCCAUUUGAACCAGUACCCAUCAUUGAGAUUCCUGGCUAUGGAAAUCUUUCUGCUCCAUUGCUGUGUGACGAGCUGAAAAUACAGAGUCAAAAUGAUAAAGAGAAGCUUGCAGAAGCCAAGGAAAAAGUGUACCUGAAAGGAUUUUAUGAAGGAAUAAUGCUUGUGGAUGGAUUCAAGGGUCAGAAGGUGCAGGAGGUCAAGAAGCUUAUUCAGAAGAAGAUGGUAGACAAUGGCGAAGCAAUGAUUUAUAUGGAGCCAGAGAAACAAGUGAUAUCCAGAUCGGCUGAUGAGUGCGUGGUGGCUCUUUGUGAUCAAUGGUAUUUGGACUACGGUGAGGAGAACUGGAAGCAGCAGGCUUAUGACUGCCUGAAAAGGCUUGAGACAUUUUGUGAAGAGACAAGAAGAAAUUUUGAAGCUACUCUGAGCUGGCUACAGGAACAUGCCUGUUCAAGGACCUAUGGAUUAGGUACUCGUUUGCCUUGGGAUGAGCACUGGUUGAUAGAAUCUCUCUCUGAUUCUACUAUCUACAUGGCCUUCUACACAGUUGCUCAUCUCCUGCAACAGGGUAAUCUCCAUGGACAAGGAGAGUCUCCUUCAGGCAUUAGGGCAAACCAGAUGUCCAAAGAGGUGUGGGACUACAUCUUCUUUAAGACAGCUCCAUUCCCUACAACAAAAAUCCCCAGGGAAACAUUGAAUCGACUAAAGCAGGAGUUUGAAUGUUGGUAUCCUGUGGAUCUCCGUGCUUCUGGCAAGGACCUUGUUCCAAAUCACCUGUCAUACUACAUUUAUAACCAUGUGGCCAUGUGGCCAGAUCAAAGAGAAAAAUGGCCUGUAGCUGUGAGGGCAAAUGGACAUCUUCUCCUGAAUUCAGAGAAGAUGUCUAAAUCUACAGGCAACUUUCUCACUUUGCAUGAGGCUGUGGAGAAGUUUUCUGCUGAUGGCAUGCGACUGGCAUUAGCUGAUGCAGGUGACACUGUAGAAGAUGCAAACUUUGUGGAAGCCAUGGCAGAUGCUGGCAUCCUCCGCCUGUACACAUGGGUGGAAUGGGUGAAAGAAAUGCUUGCCAGCUGGGACAGUUUGAGGAGUGGGCCCGCAACCACCUUCAAUGACAGGGUCUUUGCCAGUGAAGUAAAUGCAGGCAUUUUGAAAACAGAUCAAAACUAUGAGAAGAUGAUGUUUAAAGAGGCUCUUAAAACCGGCUUCUUUGAAUUUCAGGCAGCAAAAGACAAGUACCGUGAACUCGCGAUAGAAGGCGUGCACAGGGACCUGGUGCUCCGGUUUAUUGAAACUCAGACCCUCUUGUUAGCUCCUAUCUGCCCCCAUGUCUGUGAGCAUAUUUGGACCCUGCUGGGCAAGAUGGACUCCAUCAUGAAAGCCUCCUGGCCAGUGCCCGGCCCCAUCGAUGAAAUCCUGAUCCGCUCUUCCCAGUACCUCACUGAGGUAGCCCACGAUCUCCGCCUGCGCCUCAAAAGCUACAUGGCACCAGCAAGAGGAAAGAAGGGCAAUAAAGAGGCACCACAGAAGCCCUCCCACUGUACAAUUUACGUGGCCAAGACCUACCCACCGUGGCAACACACGACGUUGUCUGUCCUGCGCAGGCAUUAUCAGGCCAAUGGAGGCCAGCUACCAGACAACAAGAUAAUUGCCAGUGAACUCAGCUCCUUGCCAGAACUGAAGAAAUACAUGAAAAGGGUUAUGCCUUUUGUUGCAAUGAUUAAGGGGUGUACCUAAAGGGCCCAUCAGAUAGCCACUACAUGUGCAUUGUGAAUUGGCAAAAGAAAGCGAUGAUAAACCAAGAGCAAGAGUCAUUCAGCACUCAUUCUUUGGGCCUGCGCUGCAAGAUGCGAAGCAGAUUGCCUGGCAAUUAAAAUUCACUAAGCUAUUUCUCUGCAUUAGUCAUGUUAGAAUGAAUAAAAUUUUGGCAUAAUGGAUUAUUUACUUUCUUAAACACAGAGUAAACCAUACUUGAUUUCUAAAUGUGUUGAAGAGUCAACACAUUAAGGUUGUAAUUUCUGGUUUUGGGUCAGAGUGGGUUGAUUGGUCUCUAGAUAUUCAACCAGGAAGCAAUCUCUUCAAAGGAGGACAAGCUUUACAAUUGGUGAUACCAUCAAAACUCAGUAGAGCUUGGGGUUACUGCACAAUAUAGAAAGGUAAGAAAUAAAUGAUGAAAUACACAGUUUCAGCUCAAGCAUCCUUCUCAAUAUCAACUGGCGACUUCCUUCCUCUCUGCCACAAGGUGCUUGUUUGUGUCUUGGUGGCUCCAUGCCAGUCACCUUCAGUGGAUGGGAGGGUGGGCAAUUUCCUCAAUCCCAUCACUUGUUGCACUGUAGGGUCACAUGCCCCUCUUCUGCAACAGGAGGACAGGCAACCCGCAGGAAUGCUCCUGUGGCAACUUCUUGGUCAGUGCUGAUCCUGGUUCCUUACCAAGCUGGAUGCACGGGCAGUUGGAAGGGCUGGUGCAGGCAGGGGGUGAUGCCAGGAGGUCCACAGUAUUUAUUAACUUCUCAAGCCCUAAAUUGGGUGGGGGCGGGGAGGCAAUGGGUCUGUGCUGAGGUCCUGAUGCAGCUCAUGAACUGCACAGUGGAGGCUUUGCUGUUUGCGCCAGGUUCUUCCCUCAAAUGGCACUCCAUGCAUAUUCUCUGUACAGGCAGCAUAAGGUUCCUCAUAUUAAGACAAGAUCAAUUCAUCUGGCCCUCAAGCUCAGUCCUAUUUGGCACCUUGGUGUAAAGGAAGACAAAAGAGCAGCUUGCUGAACAGACUUGUGUGUGUUUAGGCAAGGAAGAGGUCCUACAGCUCCAGUUAUGCAGGCUGGGGAAUACUGGGAGCUGUGGGUCUUUUUUUUUUUUUUUUUUUUUUGUCUAAACAUGCCUAAUCCCUUAAAUGUUGAAGCUUGAGUUUCCUUCCCAUCCAGUGCUGGGAACAGGUAUCUUUCUGUCAGAUACAACAAGCUUGGUACCCAUUUGCUGUCUGUUGGAAGAGUUCAUCUGUGCCACAGUCUGCCUUGGGUACGCUGUGCAAUUUCACAGUGACAACCCAGUUUAAAAGAUGUUUUUCCUGCUUUGGUCAUGACAGGAAAACCUGGAGAAGAAAGGACCACGGGUUCUUGAUCUGGAGCUGGAAUUCGACGAACGGGCUGUCCUCAUGGAGAACAUUGUCUACCUGACAAAUAGUUUGGAGCUGGAACAGAUAGAAUUGAAGUUCGCUUCUGAAGGAGAUGAGAAA